UUUAAACAUUGCCAUGCUAAAACUUGCCCUGAUCUACGAACUAAAUUUGCCAUGGCCAAUUUAGGACACAAAAUAAUUUAUCUUGUCCUAAAAAACUUGCCAUGCUAUCUAGAGAAAAGUGUGACUUUCCUAGAAGAAUGCUUAUAAAUAUGCAUGUAUAGUGGCCAUUGAAAAAAAGACUCAAAUUAAGUUUCCCAUGUCAAUACAUCUUAAGUUUGCAAAUAAUGGCAGAAAAACAACACAUAUUAAAGUUUUGCAUGGCAAACUCGAUCUUGAGCUACCCAUAGGAUGACAUGUUAAAGAAUUGCCAUGGCAAUAUCACAUUAUAGACAAAUUAAAAACAAUGGACAGCCAUUCCAGGGAACAAAACAACUACUUCCCAUAUAAAUGUUUAGAUCGGAGGAAAACCCCCCAUCAAAAACACCAUGAACAAAACAACUACUUCCCAUAUACAUUGUGAAUCUGCGAUGCAUCUACUCCACCAACAAAGUGUGACCAAACUAAAAAGUCCAUCUCAUCUCUGCCUCAAUUUUCGGCCAUGGACUUAAAUUGCCAUCCUUCAUUGAAAGCUACAUUUGCCUUGGCAAAAGGUGGAGACAUGCCAUUUUUUUUCAAUUGUCAUGUGAUCAUGGCAAUUAAAAUUUGCCAUUGUGUUGGGUAAAAGCAUGGUAAUACUUUGCCAUGAGACAUAGGGGGAAACUCCAAGCACUUGCCAUGUGACAGCUACAAAAAGAAACAAGAGUCUGCAAAAUUACCAUGAUGAAAGAACACAUCUUUUGAGAAAAUUGCCAUGGGUUUGAACAAAACUUUACUGAAAUUUGCCAUUGCCCCCAUUUACUAUCACAUAUCAUCUACGGCAAAAAAGAAAGAAAACUGGCCUACUGCCCACAUCUAAAUUGGACAGAAUUUUUUGCCAUAGCAAGUAUAUAUAAACAUCAUGGCAAAAAUUGCAGUAACUUUGAAAAAGGGGUCCCACAGUGUUAACAACAUGGAAAAAACCAAACAAAAGGGCAUGUCACAAGCUGUGAAUGUUCUUAACAUUCAGAAAAAACAAAACAAAAAAGGGAAUCUAGAAUCAAUGCCAACGCUUGCAUUAAAUCUGUAGAAUACAGAAACCGUAAGUGUUGUGAAUCAUUGACAUGAUUUUUAGAGACAACAAAUAAUAUGUUGAUAAUUUCAGGCGUCCAUGCUUCAGUUGUUGGUAAAAUUCAGGCAUUCAGGCACGGGAUGAAUUGUGAAGCAUUGACAACGAAUGACAUAGGGAAUGAAGCAUUGCUCACCUUGAAAACGCUUUCCUAAUUGAUCUGGCGGAAGUCACGGGUCACGGCGGUCGCUGCGAGGAACAAGCUGUGGUCACGGCGGCGACGCAUCCGGCUUGCUCGUCUUGCUGGUACUGCUGUAGAGUAGGAACGUGACCGAG
rnacentral:lncRNA from 1 species